rnacentral:rRNA from 1 species
AUGAACGCUGGCGGCGUGCCUCAUACAUGCAAGUCGAGCGAACAGAUGAGGAGCUUGCUCCUCUGACGUUAGCGGCGGACGGGUGAGUAACACGUGGAUAACCUACCUAUAAGACUGGGAUAACUUCGGGAAACCGGAGCUAAUACCGGAUAAUAUAUUGAACCGCAUGGUUCAAUAGUGAAAGACGGUUUUGCUGUCACUUAUAGAUGGAUCCGCGCCGCAUUAGCUAGUUGGUAAGGUAACGGCUUACCAAGGCAACGAUGCGUAGCCGACCUGAGAGGGUGAUCGGCCACACUGGAACGGAGACACGGUCCAGACUCCUACGGGAGGCAGCAGUAGGGAAUCUUCCGCAAUGGGCGAAAGCCUGACGGAGCAACGCCGCGUGAGUGAUGAAGGUCUUCGGAUCGUAAAACUCUGUUAUUAGGGAAGAACAAAUGUGUAAGUAACUAUGCACGUCUUGACGGUACCUAAUCAGAAAGCCACGGCUAACUACGUG